rnacentral:rRNA from 1 species
UACACUCCUGCGGGAGGCAGCAGUGGGGAAUUUUGGACAAUGGGCGAAAGCCUGAUCCAGCAAUGCCGCGUGAGUGAAGAAGGCCUUCGGGUUGUAAAGCUCUUUUGUCAGGGAAGAAACGGUGAGAGCUAAUAUCUUUUGCUAAUGACGGUACCUGAAGAAUAAGCACCGGCUAACUACGUGCCAGCAGCCGCGGUAAUACGUAGGGUGCAAGCGUUAAUCGGAAUUACCGGGCGUAAAGCGUGCGCAGGCGGUUUUGUAAGUCUGAUGUGAAAUCCCCGGGCUCAACCUGGGAAUUGCAUUGGAGACUGCAAGGCUAGAAUCUGGCAGAGGGGGGUAGAAUUCCACGUGUAGCAGUGAAAUGCGUAGAUAUGUGGAGGAACACCGAUGGCGAAGGCAGCCCCCUGGGUCAAGAUUGACGCUCAUGCACGAAAGCGUGGGGAGCAAACAGGAUUAGAAACCCUAGUAGUCCC